GUCUACGGCCAUGCCACCCUGAACGUGCCGGAUCCCGUCUGAUCUCGGCAGCUAAGCAGGGUGGGGCCUGGUUAGUACUUGGAUGGGAGACCACCUAGGAAGACCAGGUGCUGUAUGCA
rnacentral:rRNA from 1 species